GUGUGUGUGUUGGGCAAGUCUGCAGAUCUGGUUGGGUGAGACUGGGCUAUAUAAUAGGGCGGAGCAUAAAGCCAAAGCUUUCUCCGUAGUUCCAGUCACACUGUUGGGUACCCAAACUACCAGGUGCUCUUCGGUUGUCUGGGUGCUAGAUGGUUGGAAUUCAGACUGGCCAGUUGGAGUAGCAGCUACAGGAUCUUUAACACAGAGCCUGUGGAAGGUGUGGAGGAUCCAACAGUUUUUUGUUUUGUUUUUUUACGACUGCAUUCCGGACCGCUUUUUGCCCAGGAGCAAGUCGGAAACCCGAAAUUUCUAGUAAUUUUUUUUUUUGGUGCAUUCCUCCUUUUUUCCUGAACAAAAGGGUGUAAUCACAACCAGGUCUCCGCACAAAGAGACUAACCCCAGACCCACUACAGACAUGAUCAUCAGACUGGGCAGACUAACACCUGGAUACUUCCGCCUCCUACAGAGACAGGUGGCGGGUGAGGUGCAGACCCAGCCACAGGACCGCGUGGUCAACCAGAUAGCCAUGAUGCUGGCCAUCAUGGGCCUAAGCCUGUCCUACUACAGUGCCAAACGGAUGACCGAGAAGGUCCAGAGGCUCCAGAAGAGAAGAGAUCCCCAUACACCCUGAACCUGGAGAGAAGACGAACCAACGCAGAGAUGUUGUGGAGAGGAGACAUGGAGAUGUCGGUGUCCAGAACAACACCUUUUCACAACCAAUCAGUCAUAGUCACGUCGUUCACACACUGGAGUUUUACUGGGAUCACUCUCAAUGCGAGGAGAGUUCGGGGGCUGCUGCUUUUAAGGGUAUCUUGUUAAUUUUUCACACCAAUUUGGGGGGGGGGGGGGGGUGUGUGUGUGUGUGAAGAAAGGCCCACGGUGGGGUUCGUGUGGUCCUGAUAAGCUGUCUAUGGUAAGGCUGGGCCUGAGCUUUAGUUGUUGCCAAGGUACAUGCGUGCAAGAUGCCAUCAAUACUGUUCUGCGCUAAAAAGGGAUAGAACAAUGCCAAACGAAUUAUUCUAAUGUACUGUGAAACUUGCCAGUGCUCCAAGCAUAUGACUGUGUGUAAAAUAACUGAACAGUAAUUAUUUUUUAAGGGAAGGCUAUCUGCAUUGGAGAUGUAUCUGGUAAUGACUGAAGGCAGGCCCAUAGUGUAAGGAGGAAGUAAGCUUCUUAGGUUUUUGUCAUUUCUUAUUGUUAAAUAAAAGUGAGCCAUGUGAAGUAGAUGUGGAUGAGGAGUCUCAAACUGGUCAAUAAUUCCACACAUCUUUAAUAUCUGAUAACGUCAGAUGCAAAAAAAAAACUGUGAAAGUGAAAUGCAAUAUUUGAUCUUUUUUAGGAACUUGCUUAUCCAAAUCUAUGAAAAGGCACUUUAUCCAAAUAACAACUUUGUUUUUCCCACAAUGUUUCCAGUUGAAUCGAUUUGAGUCUUGAUAAUGAACGUUGGCUUUCUUUAAAGAAUUCGAUCUGCAAAAGCUACUAGGUGUUACCACAGAAUAUUCUAACUUCAGUAAAUGUUGCAUGGGUGUGCAGCUUUUAAUCUCUACAUAAAACUUCAUUAAUACUGUCACUUUUAGUUUUUUAUAGAAUCAUAACAUGAAUGUAUAUUUCUGUGAUGUUUAGAAAAAUCAAAUAAAGCUGUGACUUGAAUGAUAAGAACAGUGGCAGUUUAGUA